rnacentral:rRNA from 1 species
CCUACGGGCGGCAGCAGUGAGGAAUAUUGGUCAAUGGACGAGAGUCUGAACCAGCCAAGUAGCGUGAAGGAUGACUGCCCUCUGGGUUGUAAACUUCAUUUAUAUGGGAAUAAAAUGUUCCACGUGUGGGAUUUUGUAUGUCCCAUAUGAAUAAGGAUCGGCUAACGCCGUGCCAGCAGCCGCGGUAAUACGGAGGAUGCGAGCGUUAGCCGGAUUUAUUGGGUUUAAAGGGAGCGUAGGUGGAUUGUUAAGUCAGUUGUGAAAGUUUGCGGCUCAACCGUAAAAUUGCAGUGGAAACUGGCAGUCUUGAGUACAGUAGAGGUGGGCGGAAUUCGUGGUGUAGCGGUGAAAUGCUUAGAUAUCACGAAGAACUCCGGUUGCGAAGGCAGCUCACUGGACUGCAACUGACACUGAGGCUCGAAAGUGUGGGUAGCAAACAGGAUUAGAUACCCUGGUAGUC